ACAGGGGGAUACAGCUGGAAACGGCUGCUAAUACCGCAUAAGCGCACGAGGAGACAUCUCCUUGUGUGAAAAACUCCGGUGGUACAGGAUGGGCCCGCGUCUGAUUAGCUGGUUGGCAGGGUAACGGCCUACCAAGGCAACGAUCAGUAGCCGGUCUGAGAGGAUGAACGGCCACAUUGGAACUGAGACACGGUCCAAACUCUACGGGAGGCAGCAGUGGGGAAUAUUGCACAAUGGGGGAAACCCUGAUGCAGCAACGCCGCGUGAGUGAAGAAGUAUUUCGGUAUGUAAAGCUCUAUCAGCAGGGAAGAUAAUGACGGUACCUGACUAAGAAGCUCCGGCUAAAUACGUGCCAGCAGCCGCGGUAAUACGUAUGGAGCAAGCGUUAUCCGGAUUUACUGGGUGUAAAGGGUGCGUAGGUGGCAGUGGAAGUCAGAUGUGAAAGGCCGGGGCUCAAACCCCGGAGCUGCAUUUGAAACUGCAUAGCUAGAGUACAGGAGAGGCAGG
rnacentral:rRNA from 1 species